GCAACACUCUUCUAGCUUGUAGGGUUUCUGUUGAGAGAUCUGCUGUUAGUCUAAUUGGCUUCCCUCUGUAAGUGACCUGACCUUUCUCUCUGACUACCCUUAACAUUUUUUUUUUUAAUUUCAACCUUAGAGAAUCUGAUGAUUAUGUAUCUUGGGGUUGAUCUUCUCAUGGAGUAUCUUGGUGGUGUUCUCUGUAUUUCCUGAGUUUGAAUGUUGGCCUGUCUUGCUAGGUUGGGGAAGUUUUCUGGAUAAUAUCCUGAGGUGUGUUUCCUAACUUGGCUCCAUUCUCCCUGUCUCUUUCUGGUACUGCAAUCACUUAUAGGUUUGGUCUUUUUACAUAGUCCCAUAUUUCUUAGAGGUUUUAUUUGUUCCUUUUCAUUCUUUUUUGUCUAAUCUUGUCUGCAUGCCUUAUUUAAGCAAGAUGGUCUUCACUCCGAUAUCCUUUCUUCCGUUUGAUCAAUUCAGCUAUUGAUACUUGUGUAUGCUUAAUGCAGUUCUUGUGCUGUGUUUUUCAGCUCUAUCAUGUCAUAUAUGUUCCUCUCUAAACUGGUUAUUCUACUUAGCAGCUCCUGUAACCUUAUAUCAAGGUUCUUGGCUUCUUUGCACUGGUUUAGACCAUGCUCCUUUGGCUCAGUGGAGUUUGUUAUUACCCACCUUCUGAAGCCUACUUCUGUCAAUUCCAUCCAUCUCAUCCUCUAUUUGUUUCUUUGCCUAUGGUAGCUAUUUGUUUAUAAAUUUCUCAUUUAUAUUUAUAACUAUUUUUGUCUAUACUCUUCUAUGUCACUGAGCUUCAUAUCAUAAUUUUGAAUUCUUUAUCUGGGUUUUAAUAAGGUUCUUUUUCAUUGGAAUCUGUUGCUGAGGUAUUACUGUGUCCCUUUACAAAGGUUACCUUUCCUUGUUUAUUUAUGUUUCUUGUGUCUUUAUGCUGCUCUCUGAGUAUCUGGUGUAAUAGUUGCCUUUUCUAAUUUUUAAAAUAUGCUUUCACUAGGGAGAUUUUUUUCUAAAUAUAUAUCUAUGGUUUUGGUUGGGUAUGGCACUUUGGCUUUCAUUCUAGAUGUGGGUAGUAGUGGAGUCUCCAUAUGAUUUCUUUAGGUGUAAACAAUGUCAGUGCUAUCUUUGAUUUCCUCUGUUGCUCAGGGUGUGGCCGUUAGUGGAGGCUGUCUUGAAGUUUUGCUGUGAAUGAGGAUGCCAGAUAGGCCUGUGCUUGAGCCCAAGAGUGGCAUAUCCUGGCAGCAGUGUUAGUGGGCCCAGCUUGUUCAGGUGCUGAUAGUGGUAGCAGUGGCCAGGUGGGUGGGUGGAUUCUAGACCACUGGGAAGUACAUGUGGUAUUGAGGUGGAAAUUAGAGAAAGAAGAAAUAAAAACCAAAAGAGAAAAACAAGUUCCUGUGUUAGCCUGUCUCAUCCCAAAAAUCAGUAACAGACACAGCCCAGGCCCGGGCAAGGUCCUGAAAACACCAAGAAGUCAAGACCCAAAAGGAAUGUGCUCUGGAGACCCUCCCAGCACUCCCCAACAUAAGAAAAAGAAAAAUAAAAUUCCUCUUUUAGCCCUUUACCCACUUUCCAUAAAUAUUUUGCAAGUUUUGUAAGGUCCUGUUUCUCCUUUGAUGCAGCUGCAAUACCACAAGCUAUGCUAGAGAUUAUGAGAUCUGUCACUGUUUGAUUAACUGUCUUUAUUUCUGCUUCUGUAACCCUUUGUUCUGAGCUCAGUUUUUUUGGAUGCAAAUCCACUGAGCCAGUGUACAUCUUAAUAAAAAUCCUCCUGUAAAACCCAUU
rnacentral:lncRNA from 10 species